GACGAACGCUGGCGGCGUGCUUAACACAUGCAAGUCGAACGGAAAGGCCCUGCUUUUGUGGGGUGCUCGAGUGGCGAACGGGUGAGUAACACGUGAGUAACCUGCCCUUGACUUUGGGAUAACUUCAGGAAACUGGGGCUCAUCCCGGAUAGGAGCUCCUGCUGCAUGGUGGGGGUUGGAAAGUUUCGGCGGUUGGGGAUGGACUCGCGGUUUAUCAGCUUGUUGGUGGGGUAGUGGCUUACCAAGGCUUUGACGGGUAGCCGGCCUGAGAGGGUGACCGGCCACAUCGGGACUGAGAUACGGCCCAGACUCCUACGGGAGGCAGCAGUGGGGAAUAUUACACAAUGGGCGGAAGCCUGAUGCAGCAACGCCGCGUGCGGGAUGACGGCCUUCGGGUUGUAAACCGCUUUCGCCUGUGACGAAGCGUGAGUGGCGGUAAUGGGUAAAGAAGCACCGGCUAACUACGUG
rnacentral:rRNA from 1 species